UACGAAGGGGGCUAGCGUUGUUCGGAUUUACUGGGCGUAAAGCGCACGUAGGCGGAUCUUUAAGUCGGAGGUGAAAUCCCAAGGCUCAACCUUGGAACUGCCUUUGAUACUGGGGAUCUUGAGUCCGGGAGAGGUGAGUGGAACUGCGAGUGUAGAGGUGAAAUUCGUAGAUAUUCGCAAGAACACCAGUGGCGAAGGCGGCUUACUGGUCCGGAUCUGACGCUGAGGCGCGAAAGCGUGGGGAGCAAACAGG
rnacentral:rRNA from 1 species